rnacentral:rRNA from 1 species
CCACACCAAAAAAAUAUCCACGUGAACGUACUCUUUAUGAAGCCAAGUCAGGCGCAAGCUUGUAGGCAGAAGGUUUCGCAAGAAGCCGAUGUGAUUUCAUCCCUUUUUAAAUAAACGACUGAUAGAGAUAGCCAUCAGAAAUGAUAGCUUGUAAUAAAAUACAACUUUCAACAGUGGAUGUCUCGGCUCGCACAUCGAUGAAGAGCGCGGCGAACUGCGAUACGUAAUGCGAAUUGCAGAAUUCAGUGAGUCAUCGAAAUCUUGAACGCAUAUUGCACUUUCGGGUUAGUCCUGGAAGUAUGUCUGUAUCAGUGUCCGUCGACACCAAAUUGUUUUAUCAUUGAUUGAUAGAGCAGACUGUGAAGGUCUUGUUUCGGCAAGUCCUUUGAAAUGAAGGUCCCUCGGUUGAUGUCAGAGUACAUUACAUAGAGGACUAUUUGGAUCUUGUUUCGGCAUUAUUUUGUGUUGCGACUGCACACUGGCUGAAGGGAGAUUAAAUUGCGGUAGUUUUGCUUGUGUUUCGGCACGGGUGAACAUGUAUUGCAUUUUAAUUCGACUGGAGGACUUGGGUGGUCAAAGAUGAAAUACGAGCAAGAGCCUUGUAGUCUGGUGUACUCCUAGCUCAAGUCGAGAAGCAAAUGGGAAUAAACAUCCAAUUUGGACCUGAUAUCAGACAAGACUACCCGCUGAAUUUAAG